CGUGUAGGCGGUCAAGUAAGUGGAAUGUGAAAUGCCCCGGCUCACCCGGGGAUCUGCAUCCCAAACUGCUUGGCUUGAGUAUGGGAGAGGAUGAGGGAAUUCCUGGUGUAGCGGUGAAAUGCGUAGAUAUCAGGAGGAACACCGGUGGCGAAAGCGCUCAUCUGGCCCAAUACUGACGCUGAGGCGCGAAGCUAGGGAGCAAACG
rnacentral:rRNA from 1 species